GACGAACGCUGGCGGCGUGCUUAACACAUGCAAGUCGAACGGUGAAGCACCUUCCUUUUGGUGGGUGUGGAUGAGUGGCGAACGGGUGAGUAACACGUGAGUAACCUGCCCCCUUCUUCUGGAUAACCGCAUGAAAGUGUGGCUAAUACGGGAUAUUCUGUGCCUGCUGCAUGGUGGGUGUGGGAAAGAUGCGCCUUUGGGUGUUUUUGGUGGGGGAUGGGCUCGCGGCCUAUCAGCUUGUUGGUGGGGUGAUGGCCUACCAAGGCGGUGACGGGUAGCCGGCCUGAGAGGGUGGACGGUCACACUGGGACUGAGACACGGCCCAGACUCCUACGGGAGGCAGCAGUGGGGAAUAUUGCACAAUGGGCGCAAGCCUGAUGCAGCGACGCCGCGUGAGGGAUGGAGGCCUUCGGGUUGUAAACCUCUUUCGCCAGUGAAGCAGGCCUGUCCCUUGUGGGUGGGUUGACGGUAGCUGGAUAAGAAGCGCCGGCUAACUACGUGCCAGCAGCCGCGGUAAUACGUAGGGCGCGAGCGUUGUCCGGAAUUAUUGGGCGUAAAGAGCUCGUAGGCGGCUGGUCGCGUCUGUCGUGAAAUCCUCUGGCUUAACUGGGGGCUUGCGGUGGGUACGGGCCGGCUUGAGUGCGGUAGGGGAGACUGGAACUCCUGGUGUAGCGGUGGAAUGCGCAGAUAUCAGGAAGAACACCGGUGGCGAAGGCGGGUCUCUGGGCCGUUACUGACGCUGAGGAGCGAAAGCGUGGGGAGCGAACAGG
rnacentral:rRNA from 1 species